AGGCCUUGCGCUCUUUGAGCGGCCGAUAUCAGAUUAGCUAGUUGGUGAGGUAAAGGCUCACCAAGGCGACGAUCUGUAGCGGGUCUGAGAGGAUGAUCCGCCACACUGGAACUGAGACACGGUCCAGACUCCUACGGGAGGCAGCAGUGGGGAAUUUUGGACAAUGGGGGCAACCCUGAUCCAGCCAUGCCGCGUGAGUGAAGAAGGCCUUCGGGUUGUAAAGCUCUUUCGGCCGGGAAGAAAUCGCAUGGGCCAAUACCCUGUGCGGAUGACGGUACCGGCAUAAGAAGCACCGGCUAACUACGUGCCAGCAGCCGCGGUAAUACGUAGGGUGCGAGCGUUAAUCGGAAUUACUGGGCGUAAAGCGUGCGCAGGCGGUUUUGUAAGACAGGCGUGAAAUCCCCGGGCUCAACCUGGGAACUGCGUUUGUGACUGCAAGGCUAGAGUACGGCAGAGGGGGGUGGAAUUCCACGUGUAGCAGUGAAAUGCGUAGAGAUGUGGAGGAACACCAAUGGCGAAGGCAGCCCCCUGGGUCGAUACUGACGCUCAUGCACGAAAGCGUGGGUAGCAAACAGGAUUAGAUACCCUGGUAGUCCACGCCCUGAACGAUGUCAACUAGGUGUUGGGUGGGUAAAACCAUUUAGUACCGGAGCUAACGCGUGAAGUUGACCGCCUGGGGAGUACGGCCGCAAGGUUAAAACUCAAAGGAAUUGACGGGGACCCGCACAAGCGGUGGAUGAUGUGGAUUACUUCGAUGCAACGCGAAAAACCUUACCUACCCUUGACAUGUCCAGAAGCCUGAAGAGAUUUGGGUGUGCCCGAAAGGGAGCUGGAACACAGGUGCUGCAUGGCUGUCGUCAGCUCGUGUCGUGAGAUGUUGGGUUAAGUCCCGCAACGAGCGCAACCCUUGUCGUUAAUUGCCAUCAUUCAGUUGGGCACUUUAACGAGACUGCCGGUGACAAACCGGAGGAAGGUGGGGAUGACGUCAAGUCCUCAUGGCCCUUAUGGGUAGGGCUUCACACGUCAUACAAUGGUCGGUACAAAGGGUUGCCAAGCCGCGAGGUGGAGCCAAUCCCAGAAAGCCGAUCGUAGUCCGGAUCGUAGGCUGCAACUCGCCUGCGUGAAGUCGGAAUCGCUAGUAAUCGUGGAUCAGCAUGUCACGGUGAAUACGUUCCCGGGUCUUGUACACACCGCCCGUCACACCAUGGGAGCGGGUUCCGCCAGAAGUAGGUAGCCUAACCGCAAGGGGGGCGCUUACCACGGCGGGGUUCGUGACUGGGGUGAAGUCGAAACAAGGUA
rnacentral:rRNA from 1 species